rnacentral:rRNA from 1 species
GACGAACGCUGGCGGCGUGCCUAACACAUGCAAGUCGAACGGGGUGAUUCCUUCGGGGAUCACUUAGUGGCGAACGGGUGAGUAACGCGUGAGAAACCUGCCUUUCAGUGGGGGACAACAGUUGGAAACGACUGCUAAUACCGCAUAAUGUUAUUUGAGGGCAUCCUCGAAUAACCAAAGCUUAAUGUGCUGAAAGAUGGUCUCGCGUCUGAUUAGCUAGUUGGUGAGGUAACGGCUCACCAAGGCGACGAUCAGUAGCCGGUCUGAGAGGAUGAACGGCCACAUUGGGACUGAGAUACGGCCCAGACUCCUACGGGAGGCAGCAGUGGGGAAUAUUGGGCAAUGGGGGAAACCCGUAGACCCAGCAACGCCGCGUGAAGGAAGAAGGCCUCGGUUGGU